GCUUCCUCAGCUGUCAACCCAAUAUAAACUGCUCCGCCACACAUCCACCAGACAUCCAUCAGCCAUCCAUCAGACAUUAUACGCUUCUUUCACCACUACAUUUGUGCUGUUUAAUCACUGAUUGAAUCUUUACCCACCAUCCUGAUAAAGUGGCAACAUGUGCAAACUCCCUCUAACGGCAGGUCUCUGUUUGAUCAUCGCCAGCUUGGGAUAUCCUGGCCUCACGGAUACAGCUGCAAUGCCACCAAACCCCUGUGAUGGAAAGAGCAAUGGGCAAUACACCAACCCUGCUGACCCACAUUCUUUUUACAAUUGUGGGGAUGGAAGAACCUACAUCCAAAACUGCCAAAAUAAUCUGGUGUUUAACCAACAAUGCAGCUGCUGUGAAGGUCCUGUAACUCCACCUACCCUAACCUCAACUCCCCCUACUAUAACUACAUCUCCACCUACUACAACUGCAAUUCCAACACCAACUGAUAACUUCUGUAAUGGAAAGAGCAAUGGGCAAUACACCAACCCUGCUGACCCACAUUCUUUUUACAAUUGUGGGGAUGGAAGAACCUACCUCCAAAACUGCCAAAAUAAUCUGGUAUUUAACCAACAAUGCAGCUGCUGUGAAGAUCCUGUGACUCCACCUACCACAACCUCAACUCCACCUACCACAACCACAUCUCCACCUACUACAACUGCAAUUCCAUCACCAACUGAUAACUUCUGUAAUGGAAAGAGCAAUGGGCAAUACACCAACCCUGCUGACCCACAUUCUUUUUACAAUUGUUGGGAUGGAAGAACCUACCUCCAAAUCUGCCAAAAUAAUCUGGUCUUUAACCAACAAUGUAACUGCUGUAACUAUGAUUUAACUCCAUCUACCACAACCAAAACUCCCCCUACCAAACCUACAACUCCCCCUAC